UACGGAGGGUGCAAGCGUUAUUCGGAAUUACUGGGCGUAAAGCGCCCGUAGGCCGCUUUGGAAGUCAGGGGUGAAAUCCCACGGCUCAACCGUGGAACUGCCCUUGAUACUGCGAAGCUUGAAUCCUGGAGAGGGUGGCGGAAUUCCCAGUGUAGGAGUGAAAUCCGUAGAUAUCAGGUGGAACACCGGUGGCGAAGGCGGCCACCUGGACAGGUAUUGACGCUGAGGUGCGAAAGUGUGGGGAGCAAACAGG
rnacentral:rRNA from 1 species